UACGAACUGUGCAAACGUUAUUCGGAAUCAUUGGGCUUAAAGGGUGCGUAGGCGGCCUGUCAAGUCGGGUGUGAAAGCCCCCGGCUCAACCGGGGAAUUGCGCCCUAAACUGUCGGGCUGGAGUGAGAUAGGGGUGUGUGGAACUUCCGGUGGAGCGGUGAAAUGUGUUGAUAUCGGAAGGAACGCCGGUGGCGAAAGCGACACACUGGAUCUUGUCUGACGCUGAGGCACGAAAGCCAGGGGAGCGAACGGG
rnacentral:rRNA from 1 species